UUAACUGCAGGAUCGGGGUCUGUCUUUUCCGCUUCCUCAGUUAGGAGUCUUUUUCUCGACAGAGUCGAUUUUGGUUUGGAUAGGGGAAAGGGGGACGUCAAGGUUUAAAAUAGAAAGAUUCAGCCUUGUUGAGUUUAAAAGAGAGAGGUGCACCCCGGGGCGGAGGCCCCCGCCCCUUCCACCCCAGCCCCAAAGGGCAGAAGAAACGCCUGACUUUUAUGUUUCUCUAUUACAAUUCGCUUGCAAAACAAGCGAACAGAGUUGAUUCCAGGGACUGCGAACCCUCGGCGGUUCAGCCGCAGGCCCCAAGGAUGGGGGCACACCGGGCUGCAUGCACUUUUCCUGCAGACAGAUUAACCAUCGAAUGUUGAGAACAUCUCGGGAACAAGUGAAGACGCAAGAAAAUCAAGAUGAACGUGGGGAGAAACACGCCUUGGGAAGCCGCGGCGAGCGGCGGCUUCGCUUGAGCUUCUAAUAACCGCGCUGGGCAGCGUUCCUGGAGCCUCCUAAUAGCAGAUAUUCAUGACUAUUAAUAUUACAAGAAUACUUAAUAAGGGAAGAAUGCCUGGAAAUCGAGCGUGAAGCGGAGAGGCAACUCGCGCCGGAGCCGGCUCUCAAUGCAGUCCAUUGACGGGAGUCUCAGUGUAGCAAAUCGGAGUGGGGAGAGGGAGCGCGAGAGACAAAAAGCGGGCGAGAGAGGGAGCGGGCGAGCGCGCGGGGGGCCGCGGCGCGGCGUCUGGCGAAUCACAGGGAAGGGGCAACAUUUUAAAAGGUUGCAGGGCAUGCAAAAGUGAAAGAGAAAGAGGCAGAGAGGGAGACCGAAGGAGAGAGCGCAGAGAGGGAGAAUGUGUCUGCGUGCAUGUGUGAGAAAGAAAGUGUGGGCGAGGGAGAGGAGCCCGGAGUGGGGAGAGGGGAGGGAGGGAAGGAGGGAGAGCCCGAGAGGAGGAAGGGAGGGAAAGAGGGAGGGAGGAAGGGAGGGAGGGAGGGAGGAAGGCAGGGGGGAGGGGGCCCAGCCCGUGCGCAAGGAGGGGGAGGCCGCGGGGGAGGGGGAAGGGGAGAGGAAGCGAGCGAGGACAAUCAGACCUAAAAGGCUGGGGCAGACCUCGGGAUGUAGCGGGGGUCGUGCAGAGCGGGCAGGAGCUGCUGGGGACCGCGUCCGGGCGCUCGUGGGGCUCUCGGCGCGGCAGGCGUUUCCCGGCCCUCCCUGGCCGCGGGCUCCUCCGCUCCGCAGCCGAGCGUGAGACUCAGGACUCGGCUGCCGGCUGCCGCGCGGCUCCUCCAUGACCCGGCGCCCCUCCCGGGACCGGCCCGCUCGCGGCGCUGGCCCUCUCCUCCUGAGCUUCCCUCGGACAGGGGCGCCGCGCGCUCCCUGGCCACCGUCGCUCUGCCCUCGGCUCUCAGGGGCCGGGGAUUCUGGACCGGGAGCCGGGAUGCGGGCCCGGGCGCACACAGACGCGAGGCGGCCCAGCCCGGGCGCCGCUGGCACGGGCUCGCAGCUCCCGGCAAAAACCCGUCUGACUGGCUGGGCCACUCCCGCCCGACGCCCCCCCAGAUGACAAGGCUAGCUCUCCCGGCGUGCUGCCUCUGCCAGUCUACCCGCCAGGUUGUCAGAACAAGCGGCACCUCGCCUUCUGCGUGUCCCUACAGCGCCCCGGCACAAUCAGACUGCCCCAAGCCAACUCCGAAACCCGAAAUCCCCGCUCCGGCGCUUGCCCGCCGCCACCAAAGUUGUGGAAACAGCUUUGACUUUAUCCUUCUCUCCUUUCUCUCUCUCUUUUUUUUUUUUUUGCCUCACACACGCAUUCACACUUGCCCCCACAGGAUCCCUCUAGGGGUGCAAGUUCAUCCCCCACCUAGCCACCCACCCCAUCCAGUUGGCACCUAGAGCUGCGCGGAGGUUCGGACCCUGCCCGCCGAGGGCGCCCACACCUGGAGCUGGGUUUCGGCCUCUGCGAAAGUGAAAUGCCCCAGCCUCGGGCCAAAGACCAGACCAGGACUGUAUGACUUGUCCUGUGAGACUGAGGGACUCAGUUUCAUUCCGACCGGCCUACAAAGCUCGCUCCCAGCCUCGAAAACAAAGCCACUGGUCUGACAUGGGAUCCCUGCACCCCUCCCCAGCGCGACAGGACCCCCCCAGAGAAGGGCCAGUACCCAUGGGAUGUCACCCCGUGCCCCAUCUACUGGGGUAGGGGGCCUGAAAGGAGAAAGAUUUUAAAUAGUCUUCAGAAAGAAAAGGGAGGAGGGAGCGGGUGACACAUCGUUCACAUAAACCCAAUUUCUGGUUUCGAGCGAAGUCAAGACCUCCGCCUUUGCGCCUGCACACAGACCUCCUGCUUAACAUUCUCAGCCUCGAAUGCCAAAAAAGAAAAAAAAAAAAAAGUAAAACCAGCAAAAGUUGGGACUGCCACCUAUUUUUUUAAGUAAUCUUCAGCCCUGCACUCUCUAACCCCUCUCUCGGACUCCUUGCUCAUUUCACUGAAGGUUGUAACCGUUCCCAGCGCCUCCUGCGGGUGGACCGGUCGCGCUAGAGCCUCCUUGCUCACUCAAGAAGGCGAGCUCGGGGGACUCUGGGUUUUAAAAUGGGUUCCAAAUCGGCGCGCUCUGUCGGCCCAGCGGGCUCGCGGCACCAGAGGUGUCCACAGCCGCUCAAGGAUUCCCACGGUCGUUCUCGGCUGCUGCUGAAGCUGGCGCUCCGGCACCCAGCGCCAGCAGAUUCCGGGUAGCACCUUUCCCACCACACGCCCCCCGUGGGGUGCGUCGAUGAUGUAGCUCAGAAGGAGAAGUUACUUAGAACUUCUUGAAGCACCGAGGCUCUGCAGCGAGCCUCGCAGCUGGGAUGAGUGUUCUCAAGUUGAACCCACUUAUAGGAAGAUGCAGCCCUUCUUACAGCGAAGUGUGGGGGCCCUUCUCCAAAGCCCAGACCAGGGUACUCUAAAGAGUACCGCUUUAGAACAGGGGGUGGGGGGUGAGGGAAAGAGAGGAAGAAAGGAAAGAAUGAAUGAAUGAAUGGAAGGAAUAUUAAACAUCGGAUGGGAAGUUGAAGAGAGAAAAGAGUUUUCUCUUUCUGUUCCUCGUGACUUGGGCCCUCAGAAUCUCGAUGAAGAAACACGAGGAGUGCACUGGCGCGUGCCCAUUUGCCAGCAACCGCUUCAAAAGCCCAUGUUCUUCUCUUCACCCCACUCUUACGCACAGCCAAAAUCGGUCAGAAAGGGAAGGAAAGUGGGACACGGGCUCCAAAGUAGGGAAACCAAAGAAGGGAGCAUCAACGACCUCCCUCUCCAGCUUCUCCCCCGCGUUCUUCGGACGAAUCUGAGGGGCGGUCGCUGCUCUGGGGAAAGUUUGUCCCACCCGCGUUUCGCAGCUGGUUGCAAAGAGGAGGAGGAGGAGAGGGAGGGUCGAGCUCUGAGCCUGGGGCCGCAUGGAUGAUCAAGCCGGCCUCGCGCUUACCUCGCAGUCCUCGUACUUGAUAUUAUCCGUCAAUUUCCAAAGCAUUUUCAUGGAUCGGCUUGAAUGGAUUUGCUCCUCUCCGUCUCGCACCCAAGUGGAGCUACUCUCUGGCUCUAUACCAACAGCCUAAUCGCCUCAUUAGCAUAUCAACAAUAGUCCAAUUGCUCGCCAGUACCACAGUCUGCCGCCGGCCGCUCCGACCCAGGUAUAAAGGCCUCUCUACACCGCAAACUUGCUUCAAGAGCUCACUCCUGCCUGCGAACUGAUGAAACCAUCUUGAGCUCCGCCGCGCGCCCCUGCCACAACACCCCCUCUCUUACCCCAGUUCCGCCCCAUUCCCUUUCCUUUCUUUCUCCGCUUCCUUUUCUCUAGAGAUGCCCUGUGCAAAGCCCGGCACAGCUCCAGGUCCGAGCCGCCACGCCUGGGGCCCGGCUUUUUGCACUUCUCCUUUAACCCUGCUACCACGAUCCGAGCUGCCCUUUUGGCCCCGUGCAAUUUUAUUAGAAAUCAUUAUCCCUUUCGCAAUUAAACGUAACCACCAAACCAAGACCGGCGAAGUCACUCCAGGAUUUUUGCCCAACUAGGGAUCGCCUCCGCUCGCAGCAGCCAUCCCCUCGGGCCGCAGCGCCCUGGGAGUUUUAUUGGCUUUGAGCUUUCCCCCAGGUUGGAGAUUCUGCCAAGCGGCCCCGGUGGCUCUGCUGGGGUUUUCGAUCCCUUAAUUGCGGCAUGUAAAAUAAAAGUUGUACCCUGAAGAGGUAGCUUGACAGCUCCAGGGGUUAAAUAAUUUUCUUCCCGUUUGUGUGAAGCUAGGGUCAACUGACAGUCCAACUUGGUGUUCAGGCUAAUGUUUCUUAGGUGCGACUUGGACACGAAUACAGAACUCCUAUGGAGCUGCACACCCGCUUCUGAAGUUGAGCCGAAAUAGACAUGUGUGCGCCUGCAGGUCUAGAUACCGUCUCAUGCAUGCAUCAAAAUAAAUCACCAGGAACCGACUCUUCGCUGUGUUAAUCUGCUCCAGUUUUCCCAAGAUUCCCCUUUUUAAUUAAAGCAAGGAGAGUUCCUUCAUGAUUUGGUGAUGCUACUAACGCGAGCGUGCUCGCCAGGCAGAGCCCGGCUGACGCGGAACCUGGAGGCCUGGGAAGCCACCUCCUUGGCCAGAUUGGUCAGUCCGGGCUUUUGGACUUUUCACUGGGGCCUACUGGCUUCGCUGGGGCUUUUAUCAGUUUCUUUUUCGGGAUUUUUUUUAAAAGUAAGAAAAAGAAAUAAUAAAGGACCUAAUGCGAC